rnacentral:misc_RNA from 1 species
AACGGUCUAUACCUGCGGUACCUGCGGAGGGAUCAUUAUCAAUUUACAGCGGACUUCGGUCCUGUCUGCACCCUUGUCUUUUGCGUACUAUAUGUUUCCUCGGUGGGCUUGCCUGCCGAUAGGACACUUAUAAACUCUUUUGUAAUUGCAAUCAGCGUCAGAAAACUAUAGUAGUUACAACUUUCAACAAUGGAUCUCU